rnacentral:lncRNA from 1 species
CUCUGGUGUUGCCUGAAGGGCCUUCCCUUGCUGGAAGACUUCAAAGAGAAAGGAGGCAGGCAUCUGUUGGGUGUUUCCCAUAUCUCAGGGAUGAGGUCCUUUUCAGCUCAAGGGCCACAUUCCCUCUGGGAAAACUUCCCAGAGCCACAUGCCAGUGGUGGGUGGGGCUAGAGGCAAAAGUAGGUGGAGCAACACGUGUACAUUUAACCUACGGCACACACAAGCACACCCCUCUCUAUUAACCAUCCUGACUUGCAAGAGGCAUUACCAGAGUUCAAGCCAAGGAAAAAGACUUGGGAUGUGAAGCAGGGCCAGUGAGGGGUGUGGCCUGGGAAGAGUUCUGAGGGCCAGAUAGAGACGCCUAGAGGGCCACAAUCAAUCUGGGGCCUGAGGUUCCCCAUCCCUGCUAUAGGGGUUGGACUAGGUAUAAAGUCCCUUAUAAUUUUUUUUCUGUAAUUCCCAAACCAGAGCCAAUGUUGUCGAUUUGAGGCAGGAACACUGGUACCAUGUUCUUGUGACAUGAGUCACCUUCACAUGUUAACUGUAUAAAGAGGGUCCAUGUAAUUAAAAAGAAAUACAUUCUCCUGAGUCACUGAGAUUUCAUACCCUACUGACCUCCUCCUAUACCACAGACAGGGCCAAUCUCCAUGCAAGGGCAUAAAAUGGACCCAAUUUAGACAUAAAAAAUGGCAACAUUCAGAAUCCAGAGGGAUAAAAUUUCAGUCACCCAGGAUACUCUGCAGUUGGACUCACAGUUACCAAAUUCCGACAAAAAAUAUUUCAAAGGGAGUGUCUACGGUAAAAACUGUUGAAUUAGAAUUUAUCAGCAAGUUUGACUUGAUUGCUUAGAGCUCAGUCGAAACCAAGGUUUCCUUUCCCACUACAGAUGUGAAAUUAUUGAUUGGAUUAUGUUGUUGCCAACACUGCAAAUUGUCGCUGUGCUUAUCUUGGUUUCCUUUGACUUUCCAUAGAAACGCCACAGCUUUUGUGCUGGACCACUUCAGCAUGAGGGUGGGAGUGGAACUGCACAACCUGAAUGCUCCCCUGGAAUAUAAUAGCCCCCUGGACAGACAAAAUUAGUAUCCCAGGUAUGUAAGUUCUAAGGUGAACUAAACAGUAGUCGUAAUAAUGAUGAGCCUGAAGCCCCAUGUCAUUUCUUCUAGGCUGUUGUAGAUCAUUUCUAAGGGUACAUUUUGAAAUUCUGAUAAACUAUAGAAACAAGUGACUCACCUGAAAAAGACCUGCUACUGUCUUGGGCUCCCUGUUUCAAGAUUCAUUCAGCCUUUCCUUCUGUAGCAUAAGCUUGUUAAAGUUGGGUUCCUUUCCUGAAAUAAAAUGAAUAUAAUUCAAUGUUACUUGUGAAGAUUUGGGAAUGAGCAAGACGUCUCUCUCCCUCUCUGAGUUACGAUCAUGCUGGAUUAUGUCCCAGCAUGAAAUGUAAAAUCAUUAUGUUAUCCAUGGCUGUAUUUAUUUCUCUGCCUGAAAAAAAUAUGUCUGUGUAACUUGCACAGUUUCCAUUUUAUUUUGAACACUGCCUCAGCCACAUUUCAGUUAUUUCUGGAAAACAUUGCUAAAACUGUGCAUCGCUGUUAUUGUUGUUUGGUUUUUUCAAUGCUGAUUUAAUAUGCGAGUCUGAUUCACAUGGGCAAAUCUGACAUGCAUGGAAUCAAGGGACGCGCAAGGAGGGAGGAAGAGAGAGAGGAAAAGGAAGAAAGGAAGGUAGGAAGAUUCCACAAGGAAUUUGUAAGAAAAAUUUGCCUACAGUGGACAAACAUUAAAUAGCCAAGUUCAAAAUAAAUGCCUUUGACCUAUCAAAACCAGAGCAUAAGGUUUCUACGAUUUAUUUUAUGAGUUUGUUAAAUGAUACAAGGAUGAAAUAAUAUGUUCCAACUCGAAAAGAUAAUGCAGAGCUAGAAAAGGACACCCAUGUGCCUUAUGGCUGGUCAGCAUACCUGUCCAUAGGCUACACCAGAAUUGGAUGGAACACUCCGCUAGGGAUGAGGGAUAAACUGGAGUCGGUUCAUAUUUAAUCUAAUUCACACUUUCCAAAACAAUGGGGACCAAAACACAGCCAGCCUUUCCAACUCACAUUUCUCCAAAUGUUGAAUGCAUUAUAUUAGGCUAAAGUGCACAUAAAAUAUCAUGGAAAAAGACAUGAUAUUAGGCAAACUUGCUUUGCAAAAUAUGUAUAUUAGACAAGAUUACAUUUAAAAUGUGCAUAGAAGGAGAAAUUUGCACUUAAAUGCUGAUGUGUUUUCAUGAGAACUUGAAAAAAUACAAACUGAUCUAGAAAUCUGGAGAAGUGAAGAUCUGGAAAGUAAGAAACUGGGAGAAGUCCGCUCACCCUUCCUGGUGGAUACGAUUGCAGGCCAGCAUUCCCCCUGCCCUUUGCAAUCCAAUGAGGGAGGCCCCAAUGCCUACGCCAAAUGUCUUACAUCUAUGGUCAAUAAAAGUUGUGGCCUGAUUUGACCCAAACACUAGUGUCAUGUCUCAUUAUUCAUGGAAUUUUGCGAGCCUGUAGGGUGGGGAGACACCUGGGCAUGCAGACCACAAUGGACAGGUUCACCCACCCUUGCUCUCCACCCUCUCAUGCAGGAGUCCCCCCUCCCAAAUCCCGCCCUUAUGAUCACCUACUCCAUGCUCGCUUUUGUAAACCAGAGAUGCCAAGGAUUGCACUGGAGACUUUCUGCAGGUAAACCAUAUGCUGUGCCACCUAGCCAUGUCGUCACCGUAUGGGGAGUAAAAUCAACAAGAGAAAAUUCAGCAACACACAUGUUAAUAGGGGAACAUGUGGGGGAUUGUAGUUUUUUUUUUAAAAAAAUGAGUUUGUUUAUUUUACAUUGGCACAACAAAGAACAAGACCCAGUGACUCCAUAGUCUCUGCUGGGGGGAGUCUAAGAGUAGGGAAUGUAGAUGAAAUAGUAAAAUAACUUGGGAAAUGAUAAUGCAGAAGAAGAUUAAUAUUGAAAUAUAUUUAAAUGACUGAUGUGGCUUUUUAAUAAAAUAUUAAACUUGCAUUUUUUAAUCAUUCGUAGACUAUUCUAUAUAACUGUGAAUUAUUGCAGUGUCGUAUAACAUUCUACUAAACAUCUCUGCAUAUUAUUAGCAACAAUAAACAUAUUUUAUAUAAUAUAAAUAUAUAUAUAAAAUCAUUUAAAAAUGGUAAAUAGGGGAAAUGCAUUCUUAAGUGAUUCUGAUGGCAUAUACACCAAUACAUAAUCUCAUACAUAGUUCCCUGGCCUCAACCACAGGGGAAUCUUUCCUCCCCACUUUCUCCCAGUGAAAAUACACCAGUGCUCCAUCCUCGGUUUAAUCGAUGGGUGUGGAGUUACAUCGGUUCCCUUUUCUAAUUCUGAUAUGGCUACAGGCUAUAAGAGAGCAGAACCCUCAGGAGUGGCUCCGUCGACUGGCUAAGUGUUAAAGUUUCCCUCCAUGGACCAGGUAGAAUCAAAUCCAAGCGUUAUGAGGCAGUAAGGACUGUAAACAGAUAUUCCCCCUGUUGGUCCAGCAGCAAGAAUUGCUAUUGAUUUUUGUUUUGUUUUGUUUUAGAUGAAGAAACUAUGUUGAUGUGUGAAAAUAAUCCCCCCUCCCUCCGGUGAAUAGUUUCUGCCAAGCUGUUGGAAAUUCACUGCACAAUUGCCAAGGCUGGUGUCUUUUGGAGGAAGACAGCACCAGAAGUCUUCGUGAAAAGCCACAUUUGCACAUUUACAGAUUGCGAUGAGGAUGGAAAUUGGCUGCAGUCAGCAAGGGGGAAUCAAGCUACAGUACAUAUAGCAGAAGUCACUCACAGCCCCCCAAGUGUUUCUGCCUAGACUCAUUCAAGUAUCUGAGAAAAAGGCUGCCAAAGCAUUUCACCCCAAGUACGGAUACACAAACAUAGCAGGACUGAAAUCAGGACUUGAAUG